AUGACCAUUUAUUUUUCUUCGUUUACUAUGCGCAAACAUUUAAUUGGAACUAUCUUGAACCAGGUUCGACAUCAAGUACUUCAGGAAUUCUACCAAGUAGAGAGCUUCUUAUGUAGAGAAGGCCAGCCGAGAAAUGAGUCAAUGCUUUUUAACAUGUUUAGUCGAUAUAUCGUGCCUUGUACUGACUCUCAUAUAGCAAGAAAUGAGUAAGACAUUGAGGCCAAUAGUCAUUGUUGCUCUUCUUGGUUGUUUUACAUGUCCAGAUUGUACUAAUUCUUUUGAGAGAUAAAUAUUAGUAGAGUUAACCAUACUUUUAGCUUUUAAAAUUAUCUUUAAUGGCAAAUCAUUUAUACAUUGUAUGUGCGUUAUGUUGUGUGCAUUAUAGUUUUCGAGGCUCAAUUUUCUUGGUUCUUCUAGAGGAGUGAGAAGUUCUCUCUCCAUUGAAGAGUUUCUGACACAUGUUGUGUAUUUAUGUUCUUAUUACUUUUAAAUGUAAUCGCAGUUAUAUUCAA